GUCCCAGUAGAGCAAUGGAUAGCCCGUUGGACUUCUAAUCCAUAGGUCGUGGGCGCAAUUACCCCCUGGGACG